UUGGAGGGCAAGUCUGGUGCCAGCAGCCGCGGUAAUUCCAGCUCCAAUAGCGUAUAUUAAAGUUGUUGUGGUUAAAAAGCUCGUAGUAGAAGCUCGGGCUCCGGCCGACCGGUCCGCCUCACCGCGUGCACUGGUUCGGCCGGGCCUUCACCUUCUGCGGAACCGCAUCUCCUUCACUGGGGGUGUCGGGGAAACAGGACGUUUACUGUGAAAAAAUUAGAGUGCUCCAGGCAGGCCUAUGCUCGAAUAGAUUAGCAUGGAAUAAUGGAAUAGGACGUGUGGUCUUAUUUUGUUGGUUUCUAGGACCGCCGUAAUGAUUAAUAGGGACAGUCGGGGGCAUCAGUAUUCAAUCGUCAGAGGUGAAAUUCUUGGAUCGAUUGAAGACUAACUACUGCGAAAGCAUUUGCCAAGGAUGUUUUCAUUUAUCAGGAACGAAAGUUAGGGGAUCGAAGACGAUCAGAUACCGUCGUAGUCUUAACCAUAAACUAUGCCGACUAGGGAUCGGACGGUGUUAUUUCUUGACCCGUUCGGCGCCUUACGGGAAAC
rnacentral:rRNA from 1 species